CAGUACCGUGAGGGAAAGGCGAAAAGAACCCCGGCGAGGGGAGUGAAAAAGAACCUGAAACCGUGUACGUACAAGCAGUGGGAGCCUCUUUAUGGGGUGACUGCGUACCUUUUGUAUAAUGGGUCAGCGACUUAUAUUCUGUAGCAAGGUUAACCGAAUAGGGGAGCCGAAGGGAAACCGAGUCUUAACUGGGCGUUAAGUUGCAGGGUAUAGACCCGAAACCCGGUGAUCUAGCCAUGGGCAGGUUGAAGGUUGGGUAACACUAACUGGAGGACCGAACCGACUAAUGUUGAAAAAUUAGCGGAUGACUUGUGGCUGGGGGUGAAAGGCCAAUCAAACCGGGAGAUAGCUGGUUCUCCCCGAAAGCUAUUUAGGUAGCGCCUCGUGAAUUCAUCUCCGGGGGUAGAGCACUGUUUCGGCAAGGGGGUCAUCCCGACUUACCAACCCGAUGCAAACUGCGAAUACCGGAGAAUGUUAUCACGGGAGACACACGGCGGGUGCUAACGUCCGUCGUGAAGAGGGAAACAACCCAGACCGCCAGCUAAGGUCCCAAAGUCAUGGUUAAGUGGGAAACGAUGUGGGAAGGCCCAGACAGCCAGGAUGUUGGCUUAGAAGCAGCCAUCAUUUAAAGAAAGCGUAAUAGCUCACUGGUCGAGUCGGCCUGCGCGGAAGAUGUAACGGGGCUAAACCAUGCACCGAAGCUGCGGCAGCGACGCUUAUGCGUUGUUGGGUAGGGGAGCGUUCUGUAAGCCUGCGAAGGUGUACUGUGAGGUAUGCUGGAGGUAUCAGAAGUGCGAAUGCUGACAUAAGUAACGAUAAAGCGGGUGAAAAGCCCGCUCGCCGGAAGACCAAGGGUUCCUGUCCAACGUUAAUCGGGGCAGGGUGAGUCGACCCCUAAGGCGAGGCCGAAAGGCGUAGUCGAUGGGAAACAGGUUAAUAUUCCUGUACUUGGUGUUACUGCGAAGGGGGGACGGAGAAGGCUAUGUUGGCCGGGCGACGGUUGUCCCGGUUUAAGCGUGUAGGCUGGUUUUCCAGGCAAAUCCGGAAAAUCAAGGCUGAGGCGUGAUGACGAGGCACUACGGUGCUGAAGCAACAAAUGCCCUGCUUCCAGGAAAAGCCUCUAAGCAUCAGGUAACAUCAAAUCGUACCCCAAACCGACACAGGUGGUCAGGUAGAGAAUACCAAGGCGCUUGAGAGAACUCGGGUGAAGGAACUAGGCAAAAUGGUGCCGUAACUUCGGGAGAAGGCACGCUGAUAUGUAGGUGAAGUCCCUCGCGGAUGGAGCUGAAAUCAGUCGAAGAUACCAG
rnacentral:rRNA from 1 species